AAACUUGAGAGUUUGAUCAUGGCUCAGAACGUACGCUGGCGGCACGCCUAACACAUGCAAGUCGAACGAAGUAGCAAUACUUAGUGGCAGACGGGUGAGUAACAUGUAGGUAUCUUCCCUUUGGCCUGGAAUAACACGAGGAAACUUGUGCUAAUACCGGAUAAGUCUUUACAGAGAAAGCUUUAUGCACCAUUGGAUGAGCCUGCACUUGAUUAGUUUGUUGGUAGGGUAAUGGCCUACCAAGACUGUGAUCAAUAGCUGAUUUGAGAGGAUGAUCAGCCACAUUGGGACUGAGACACGGCCCAAACUCCUACGGGAGGCAGCAGUGGGGAAUCUUGCACAAUGGAGGAAACUCUGAUGCAGCGAUGCCGCGUGAGUGAAGAAGGCCUUUGGGUUGUAAAGCUCUUUCGUCGGGGAAGAAAAUGACUGUACCCGAAUAAGAAGGUCCGGCUAACUUCGUGCCAGCAGCCGCGGUAAUACGAAGGGACCUAGCGUAGUUCGGAAUUACUGGGCUUAAAGAGUUCGUAGGUGGUUGAAAAAGUUGGUGGUGAAAUCCCAGAGCUUAACUCUGGAACUGCCAUCAAAACUUUUCAGCUAGAGUUUGAUAGAGGAAAGCAGAAUUUCUAGUGUAGAGGUGAAAUUCGUAGAUAUUAGAAAGAAUACCAAUUGCGAAGGCAGCUUUCUGGAUCAUUACUGACACUGAGGAACGAAAGCAUGGGUAGCGAAGAGGAUUAGAUACCCUCGUAGUCCAUGCCGUAAACGAUGUGUGUUAGACGUUGGAAAUUUAUUUUCAGUGUCGCAGCGAAAGCGAUAAACACACCGCCUGGGGAGUACGACCGCAAGGUUAAAACUCAAAUGAAUUGACGGGGACCCGCACAAGUAGUGGAGCAUGUGGUUUAAUUCGAAGAUACGCGCAGAACCUUACCAACACUUGACAUGUUCGUCGCGACUUUAAGAGAUUAAAGUUUUCGGUUCGGCCGGACGAAACACAGGUGCUGCAUGGCUGUCGUCAGCUCGUGUCGUGAGAUGUUGGGUUAAGUCCCGCAACGAGCGCAACCCUCACUUUUAGUUGCCAUCAUUUAGUUGGGCACUCUGAAAGAACUGCCAGUGAUAAGCUGGAGGAAGGUGGGGAUGACGUCAAGUCCUCAUGGCCCUUACGUGUUGGGCUACACACGUGCUACAAUGGUAUCUACAACAGGAAGCAAGACGGCGACGUUAAGCAAAUCCCUAAAAGAUACCUCAGUUCGGAUUGCACUCUGCAACUCGAGUGCAUGAAGCUGGAAUUACUAGUAAUCGUGGAUCAGCGUGCCACGGUGAAUGCGUUCCCGGGUCUUGUACACACCGCCCGUCACACCAUGGGAGUUGGUUCUACCUUAAGGCAAGGUUUUAAACCCUUGACCACGGUAUAGUCAGCGACUGGGGUGAAGUCGUAACAAGGUAGCCGUAGGGGAACCUGCGGCUGGAUUACCUCCUUU
rnacentral:rRNA from 1 species